GGGGCUCAGUGGCAGAGCUCCUGCUUUGCAUGUGGAAGGUCUCAGGUUCAAUCCCUGGCAUCUCCA